AAUGUUGACGGUGAUUAUCAUG
rnacentral:miRNA from 1 species